AAUCAACGCUGGCGGCGUGCCUAACACAUGCAAGUCGAACGAGAAAGUGGAGCAAUCCAUGAGUACAGUGGCGUACGGGUGAGUAACACGUGACUAACCUACCCUCGAGUGGGGAAUAACCUCGGGAAACCGGGGCUAACACCGCAUAAUAUCUACGGAUCAAAUGCGAAAGCAGCUUGAGGAGGGGUCGCGGCCGAUUAGCUAGUUGGUGAGGUAAUGGCUCACCAAGGCAAUGAUCGGUAGCCGGCCUGAGAGGGCGCACGGCCACACUGGAACUGAAACACGGUCCAGACUCCUACGGGAGGCAGCAGUGGGGGAAUUUUGCGCAAUGGGGGAAACCCUGACGCAGCAACGCCGCGUGGAGAUGAAGCCCCUUGGGUGUAAACUCCUUUCGAUCGGGACGAUUAUGACGGUACCGGAUGAAGAA
rnacentral:rRNA from 1 species